CGUCUUGGCGCCGGGUUGCCAGCGGUGUCCGGCUAGCAGGGACCGCCGCGGGGGGUGCAACCGUUGUCCUGAGCCGUCCGCCGCGUCCCGGGUGAGCGGGCAUGCAUGGCUUCGUCCUUGGG
rnacentral:rRNA from 1 species